GAUGAACGCUGGCGGCGUGCCUAAUACAUGCAAGUCGAGCGAACGGACGAGAAGCUUGCUUCUCUGAUGUUAGCGGCGGACGGGUGAGUAACACGUGGAUAACCUACCUAUAAGACUGGGAUAACUUCGGGAAACCGUAGCUAAUACCGGAUAAUAUUUUGAACCGCAUGGUUCAAAAGUGAAAGACGGUCUUGCUGUCACUUAUAGAUGGAUCCGCGCUGCAUUAGCUAGUUGGUAAGGUAACGGCUUACCAAGGCAACGAUGCAUAGCCGACCUGAGAGGGUGAUCGGCCACACUGGAACUGAGACACGGUCCAGACUCCUAUGGGAGGCAGCAGUAGGGAAUCUUCCGCAAUGGGCGAAAGCCUGACGGAGCAACGCCGCGUGAGUGAUGAAGGUCUUCGGAUCGUAAAACUCUGUUAUUAGGGAAGAACAUAUGUGUAAGUAACUGUGCACAUCUUGACGGUACCUAAUCAGAAAGCCACGGCUAACUACGUG
rnacentral:rRNA from 1 species